UCCAGAGACCUCUGAAUGAAAGA
rnacentral:piRNA from 1 species